rnacentral:pre_miRNA from 12 species
UGUUGCCGUUGUUGUUGUUGCUGUUGUUGUUGCUGUUGUUGUUGUUUAGAAAAUGCAAUAAUGCCUUGCCAAAAUUUUGCAGCACGUACUACAUGUAAUUGCAACAAUAAUAACAACAGCAACAAUAACAGCAACAACAACAACAACAAUG